CUUUCCUCUUUCCCAAAUCAACCAACACUCAACAGUACUGUAAAAUCGGGCUCUCUCCAAGCGAAUCAGAAGCAGAGUCGACAGUGUCCGUACAGAAGAAAUGCAAGCUCUGCGACUGAGCAAGAAAACGACGACGCUCUCUUCACGUGCUCUCUUCCUCACCGCUUCCUCUUCCUCGUUCCCAUGCCGAACCCUAACCACUCUCCGACCCUCUCCGCUGCCGUCACCCGCCUGUCACCCUGACACCAAUCGUGGCGCCGACACGCGGGUCUCCCUUACCAUCAGCAACCUCCUCCUCCGCUCUCCUUGGUCCGUCACUCAACAUCGCGGGAUGAAAGUCUCCGGUUCCGAUGUCAAAGUUGGAAAUGUGAUCGAAAAAAAAGGACGUAUGUACCAGGUCGUUAAGACAGAUCAUUCCCAUGAAGGAAGAGGCAAAGCUACGAUAAAGGUGGAGCUUCGUGACAUUGAGAGUGGAAAUAAAGUAUCCCAGCGACUGGGUACCGAUGAGAAUGUUGAAAAGGUCUAUGUUCGAGAGCAAACUUACAUGUAUAUGUGCACAGAUCGCAAUGGCACUAUAGUGCUGAUGAACGUUGAAACAUUUGAUCAGCUGGAAGUGUCCCAGGAGUUGUUUGGCAAAGAUGCUAAGUAUCUACAAGGUGAUAUGAGAGUUACAGUAAGGCUUUAUGAUGAUACACCUUUAUCUGGAUCAGUUCCAAAACGUGUGACAUGUAUUGUCAAGGAAGCACAACCUGCUAUGGUUUCAGCCACACCUAAGGAUAAAAAGGUUGUAUUGGAAAAUGGUAUGACACUCGAGGUGAGUUAAAUGCGUUACUUUUCCCACUAAUGUUUUAGCUGCUAAAUUUGUCACUUGUGCAGCUCACAAAGCAAAAGAUGAAACUAAGCCAAGAUUAAGACAAAAGUGGGCGGAAUUAACCUUCAAUUUUGGACAUUGUACAGAAGCGUCCUAAUACAUGCAUAAAGGUAUGAGGGCAAGGCCUGAUAUGGGUCCUUCAAGAAGUUAUGAAGGUUAUAUUACUAACAAAGUCUGCACCAGGUGUACUGUGAAGCGUCAUGCAUACCAAAGUUUUGAGUUUAUUUAGAUUUAAGACUACUAUAUCCAUACAUUCCUCCAAAUUAGGCUUUUGCUCUUGUUACCUCUAAAAAUGGCUCUGCCAAUUAACAACAGGGAUGACAAGCAAUACGGAGAAAACUAUUUUAUGUGUGUGUGUUGUAGGGGAGGAGUGAAGUUCUGGUACAUGUACCACAAAAUAUAAGCAGUUUGUGGCUUAUCAUUUUUUCUAAUUUCCCAGGUACCAGCGUUUGUUGUAGCUGGUGAUGCUGUUGUUAUCAAUACUGAGACCGACACUUACAUUGAAAGGGCUUAAAGCAUAAUAUUGUAAUUGCUUUAUUCUGAAGGACAGAUGGAACGUCGUUUUGUGCACCAUGCAUGUCUCUGAUUUCUGUGGGCAUCAGUCUUCAAUUUUGUUAUUUUAGGUGAGUUUUUAAACCAAAAAAAGGUCUAUAAACUUCAGGUAUUUAAGAUCAACAGGACUCCGAAAUUCCACGAAAGUGGAGUGAGGCAAUGAGAAAUAGCUCGAUUUAUGAAACAGGGGUAAGUUUUUACAUUGUUCUCGGUAUUAGUGCAUGCUGUUUUGGUACUUCCAAGAGUUCGUCAAAGGAGAAGGCGAUGAUGUAAAUUGCUCAUUGCUGCUCUUUUAUAUUUCUUUCUAAAUUGUAAUAAAAGGUUAUUUAAUGCAACGAUGCAUUGCCUUUCAAUAUUAGCCAUCACUCAUCAGGGUUAGAAUAUUAAAUCGGCAAUUUUUUUAUCAA